rnacentral:rRNA from 1 species
GAUGAACGCUGGCGGCGUGCCUAAUACAUGCAAGUCGAGCGAACGGACGAGAAGCUUGCUUUUCUGAUGUUAGCGGCGGACGGGUGAGUAACACGUGGAUAACCUACCUAUAAGACUGGGAUAACUUCGGGAAACCGGAGCUAAUACCGGAUAAUAUUUUGAACCGCAUGGUUCAAAAGUGAAAGACGGUCCUGCUGUCACUUAUAGAUGGAUCCGCGCUGCAUUAGCCAGUUGGUAAGGUAACGGCUUACCAGGGCAACGAUGCAUAGCCGACCUGAGAGGGUGAUCGGCCACACUGGAACUGAGACACGGUCCAGACUCCUACGGGAGGCAGCAGUAGGGAAUCUUCCGCAAUGGGCGAAAGCCUGACGGAGCAACGCCGCGUGAGUGAUGAAGGUCUUCGGAUCGUAAAACUCUGUUAUUAGGGAAGAACAUAUGUGUAAGUAACUGUGCACAUCUUGACGGUACCUAAUCAGAAAGCCACGGCUAACUACGUG